AUGUCGCAAUACGCUAGUAAGACUAAAACCCUAGAGAGUGACACCGAGUCGGAGCCAGAGCCGCCGCCGCCGCCGGAUGUGGCCUCCGGGACGGGCGGGCUCGAGGCGGCCGUGCACACCAUCCACCCCUGCGAAAGCACCGCGUCCUCGGCCACGCCAAGGGCCGCCCGGCGGGCGCCCGCGUCCCGGUGCUCCUCCCGCUCCGUGAGAGCUCUGCCAGUGUCGGCGCCGCCGCCGGGCGCCGUCAUCCUUGGUACCUCCACGGAUUGGAAGGAGGACGAGGAGCACGAGGUUGACGGGCUUCAGCGGAAGGUAAAGCGCUACCGCAUGAUCGAGGAGCUCUACGCCGCGACGGAGAAGGUUGUCCCGGCGAGCAGCGGCGGCCGGAAGAAGGAGCAGAAGAGGAAAUAG
rnacentral:rRNA from 1 species